rnacentral:rRNA from 1 species
UACGUAGGGGGCAAGCGUUGUCCGGAUUUAUUGGGCGUAAAGAGCGUGUAGGCGGCCAGGUAGGUCCGUUGUGAAAACUCGAGGCUCAACCUCGAGACGCCGAUGGAAACCAUCUGGCUAGAGUCCGGAAGAGGAGAGUGGAAUUCCCGGUGUAGCGGUGAAAUGCGCAGAUAUCGGGAAGAACACCCGUGGCUAAGGCGGCUCUCUAGUACGGUACUGACGCUGAGGCGCGAAAGCGUGGGGAGCAAACAGG